GAUGAACGCUGGCGGCGUACUUAACACAUGCAAGUCGAACGGAGUGCCUUUGAAAGAGGAUUCGUCCAAUUGAUAAGGUUACUUAGUGGCGGACGGGUGAGUAACGCGUGAGGAACCUGCCUUGGAGUGGGGGAAUAACACAGUGAGAAUUGUGCUAAUACCGCAUAAUGCAGUUGGGUCGCAUGACUCUGACUGCCAAAGAUUUAUCGCUCUGAGAUGGCCUCGCGUCUGAUUAGCUAGUUGGUGGGGUAACGGCCCACCAAGGCGACGAUCAGUAGCCGGCCUGAGAGGGUGAACGGCCACAUUGGGACUGAGACACGGCCCAA
rnacentral:rRNA from 1 species